rnacentral:misc_RNA from 1 species
AACGCACAUUGCGCCCGGCAGUAAUCUGCCGGGCAUGCCUGUCCGAGCGUCAUUUCAACCCUCGAACCUCCGUUUCCUCAGGGAAGCCCAGGGUCGGUGUUGGGGCGCUACGGCGAGUCCUCGCGACCCCCGUAGGCCCUGAAAUACAGUGGCGGUCCCGCCGCGGUUGCCUUCUGCGUAGUAAGUCUCUUUUGCAAGCUCGCAUUGGGUCCCGGCGGAGGCCUGCCGUCAAACCACCUAACAACUCCAGAUGGUUUGACCUCGGAUCAGGUAGGGUUACCCGCUGAACUUAA